rnacentral:rRNA from 1 species
GACGAACGCUGGCGGCGUGCUUAACACAUGCAAGUCGAACGGAAAGGCCCUUCGGGGUACUCGAGUGGCGAACGGGUGAGUAACACGUGGGUGAUCUGCCCUGCACUUUGGGAUAAGCCUGGGAAACUGGGUCUAAUACCGAAUAGGACCACGCGCUUCAUGGCGUGUGGUGGAAAGCUUUUGCGGUGUGGGAUGGGCCCGCGGCCUAUCAGCUUGUUGGUGGGGUAAUGGCCUACCAAGGCGACGACGGGUAGCCGGCCUGAGAGGGUGACCGGCCACACUGGGACUGAGAUACGGCCCAGACUCCUACGGGAGGCAGCAGUGGGGAAUAUUGCACAAUGGGCGCAAGCCUGAUGCAGCGACGCCGCGUGAGGGAUGACGGCCUUCGGGUUGUAAACCUCUUUCAAUAGGGACGAAGCGCAAGUGACGGUACCUAUAGAAGAAGCACCGGCCAACUACGUG